rnacentral:rRNA from 1 species
AUUGAACGCUGGCGGCAUGCUUUACACAUGCAAGUCGAACGGCAGCACGGGGGCAACCCUGGUGGCGAGUGGCGAACGGGUGAGUAAUGCAUCGGAACGUGCCCCGUCGUGGGGGAUAACACAUCGAAAGAUGUGCUAAUACCGCAUACGACCUGAGGGUGAAAGCGGGGGACCGCAAGGCCUCGCGCGAUGGGAGCGGCCGAUGUCUGAUUAGCUAGUUGGUGGGGUAAAGGCCUACCAAGGCGACGAUCAGUAGCUGGUCUGAGAGGACGACCAGCCACACUGGGACUGAGACACGGCCCAGACUCCUACGGGAGGCAGCAGUGGGGAAUUUUGGACAAUGGGGGCAACCCUGAUCCAGCCAUGCCGCGUGCGGGAAGAAGGCCUUCGGGUUGUAAACCGCUUUUGGCAGGAACGAAACGGUGCGGGCGAAUACCCUGUGCUAAUGACGGUACCUGCAGAAUAAGCACCGGCUAACUACGUGCCAGCAGCCGCCGUAAAAC